UUAGAUUAGGUAGUUGGUGGGGUAAAGGCUCACCAAGCCGACGAUCUAUAGCUGGUCUGAGAGGACGACCAGCCACACUGGAACUGAGAUACGGCCCAGACUCCUACGGGAGGCAGCAGUGGGGAAUCUUGCACAAUGGGCGAAAGCCUGAUGCAGCGAUGCCGCGUGAGUGAAGAAGGCCUUUGGGUUGUAAAGCUCUUUUGUCGGGAAAGAUAAUGACUGUACCCGAAGAAUAAGGUCCGGCUAACUUCGUGCCAGCAGCCGCGGUAAUACGAAGGGACCUAGCGUAGUUCGGAAUUACUGGGCGUAAAGAGUAUGUAGGCGGCUAGAUAAGUUAAUUGUGAAAGCCCAAAGCUUAACUUUGGAAUUGCAAUUAAAACUAUUUAGCUGGAGUAUGAUAGAGGAAAGCGGAAUACAUAGUGUAGAGGUGAAAUUCGUAGAUAUUAUGUAGAACACCAGUUGCGAAGGCGGCUUUCUGGAUCAUUACUGACGCUGAGAUACGAAAGUAUGGGUAGCGAAGAGGAUUAGAUACCCUCGUAGUCCAUACCAUAAACGAUGAUUAUUAGAUGUGGGGAAUUAUUUCUCUGUAUCAUAGCUAACGCGUUAAAUAAUCCGCCUGGGGAGUACGACCGCAAGGUUAAAACUCAAAUGAAUUGACGGGGACCCGCACAAGCGGUGGAGCAUGUGGUUUAAUUCGAAGCAACGCGCAGAACCUUACCAACCCUUGACAUGUUCGUCGCGAGACUAAGAAAUUAGUCUCUUCGGUUCGGCCGGACGAAACACAGGUGCUGCAUGGCUGUCGUCAGCUCGUGUCGUGAGAUGUUGGGUUAAGUCCCGCAACGAGCGCAACCCUCGCUUUCAGUUGCCAUCAUUCAGUUGGGCACUCUGAAGGAACUGCCGGUGACAAGCCGGAGGAAGGUGGGGAUGACGUCAAGUCCUCAUGGCCCUUACGGCCUGGGCUACACACGUGCUACAAUGGCGGUGACAGUGGGCAGCUACCCCGCGAGGGGAUGCUAAUCCAUAAAAGCCGUCUCAGUUCGGAUUGCACUCUGCAACUCGAGUGCAUGAAGUUGGAAUCGCUAGUAAUCGCGGAUCAGCAUGCCGCGGUGAAUACGUUCUCGGGCCUUGUACACACCGCCCGUCACACCAUGGGAGUUGGUUUUACCUUAAGCCGGUGCGCUAACCGCAAGGAGGCAGCCGACCACGGUAAGGUCAGCGACUGGGGUGAAGUCGUAACAAGGUAACCGUA
rnacentral:rRNA from 1 species